rnacentral:rRNA from 1 species
CCUACGGGUGGCAGCAGUGGGGAAUAUUGGGCAAUGGGCGCAAGCCUGACCCAGCAACGCCGCGUGAAGGAAGAAGGCCUUCGGGUUGUAAACUUCUUUUGUCAGGGACGAAGAAAGUGACGGUACCUGACGUAUAAGCCACGGCUAACUACGUGCCAGCAGCCGCGGUAAUACGUAGGUGGCAAGCGUUAUCCGGAUUUACUGGGUGUAAAGGGCGUGUAGGCGGGAGAGCAUGUCAGACGUGAAAUUCCAGGGCUCAAACCUGGAACUGCGUUUGAAACUGUUCUUCUUGAGUGAUGGAGAGGGAGGCGGAAUUCGGGGUGUAGCGGUGAAAUGCGUAGAUAUACGGAGGAACACCAGUGGCGAAGGCGGCCUGCUGGACAUUAACUGACGCUGAGGCGCGAAAGCGUGGGGAGCAAACAGGAUUAGAUACCCGAGUAGUC